rnacentral:misc_RNA from 1 species
GUAGGUGAACCUGCGGAAGGAUCAUUACAAAUCUUUGCGAGAGCUGUGUGCUGUUUACAGUGCAUAGUGACUCCACAUUAGCACAGGGUCGCAAGACUCUGAUGUUUACGCUUGUUUGUUUGACAGAGUUAGUUGAGAAAAUAAAAGACAACUUUUAACAAUGGAUCUCUUGGCUCUU